rnacentral:rRNA from 1 species
CCUUCGGUGUCCGAGUUGUAAUUUGAAGAAGGUAACUUUGGAGUUGGCUCUUGUCUAUGUUCCUUGGAACAGGACGUCACAGAGGGUGAGAAUCCCGUGCGAUGAGAUGUCCAACUCUAUGUAAAGUGCUUUCGAAGAGUCGAGUUGUUUGGGAAUGCAGCUCUAAGUGGGUGGUAAAUUCCAUCUAAAGCUAAAUAUUGGCGAGAGACCGAUAGCGAACAAGUACAGUGAUGGAAAGAUGAAAAGAACUUUGAAAAGAGAGUGAAAAAGUACGUGAAAUUGUUGAAAGGGAAGGGUUUGAGAUCAGACUUGGUAUUUUGUAUGUCUUGCUUUCGGGUGGGGCCUCUGCAGUUUACUGGGCCAGCAUCGGUUUGGACGGUAGGAUAAUGACAUUGGAAUGUGGCACUACUUCGGUGGUGUGUUAUAGACUUUGUUGAUACUGCCUGUCUAGACCGAGGACUGCGUCUUUGACUAGGAUGCUGGCAUAAUGAUCCUA